AGAGAAUUGAGCAGUGAGACUGCAGGGGCACUAUCUGUGCACCUAAACUGCCUCAUUGAGCUACAGUUGUUUGAUGCCUAUAUUAUCCCUUUAAAGAAUACCUAAAUGUGUUUCUUUAAACUAGGACCUAAAAUUUAUGUACUGUACCCAAUCUUCCAAGAUCUUAUUUAUCAUAACCAUGCUGACAGCACCACAACAACUCCAUUCAUGCUCAGGUAGAACAAGAGUUCUACUUACUGGCAGCUAAUAUUGGAAAUUCUCUCUUUAGAAUGCCUACUUUUAUCCUUCUAUUUUUAUUCUCUUAAAAUGGAACCGGGAAAGGGUCACAGUUUUCAGUGAGAAAUAAAAAAUCCAUCACAAUCUGGGGACUGGAAUGGACAGAGCAACCGACUCUACAAGAGGUAGGAAAACAUUACUCCACCCUUUGUCAACCUCAAGCUUGCCCAAAAGACCAUGCAGUCCCC